UACGUAGGUGGCAAGCGUUGUCCGGAUUUACUGGGCGUAAAGCGCACGUAGGCGGAUUGUUAAGUCAGGGGUGAAAUCCUGGAGCUCAACUCCAGAACUGCCUUUGAUACUGGGGAUCUCGAGUCCGGAAGAGGUGAGUGGAACUCCGAGUGUAGAGGUGAAAUUCGUAGAUAUUCGGAAGAACACCAGUGGCGAAGGCGGCUCACUGGUCCGGUACUGACGCUGAGGUGCGAAAGCGUGGGGAGCGAACAGG
rnacentral:rRNA from 1 species